CUGCGAAUGGCUCAUUAAAUCAGUUAUUGUUUAUUUGAUGGUACCUUUACUACUUGGAUAACCGUGGUAAUUCUAGAGCUAAUACAUGCUAAAAACCCCGACUCAUGAAGGGGUGUAUUUAUUAGAUUCAAACCAGUGUCCCUCGGGACUUUUUGGUGACUCAUAAUAACUUAACGCAGCGCAUGGCCUUCGUGCCGGCGCGGGAUCAUUCAAAUACCUGCCCUAUCAAGUUUCGAUGUGAGGGUAGUGUCCUCACAUGCUUUUGACGGGUAACGGGGAAUUAGGGUUCGACUCCGGAGAGGGAGCCUGAGAAACGGCUACCACAUCCAAGGAAGGCAGCAGGCGCGCAAAUUACCCAAUCCCGAUACGGGGAGGUAGUGACAAGAAAUACCGAUUCAGGAUCUUAUUGGAUCUUGAGAUUGGAAUGAGUACAAUUCAAACCCAUUAACGAGGAACAACUAGAGGGCAAGUCUGGUGCCAGCAGCCGCGGUAAUUCCAGCUCUAGUAGCGUAUAUUAAAAUUGUUGCAGUUAAAACGCUCGUAGUUGAACUUUGGGCUUGGCUGGCUGGUCCGCCUCACCGCGAGCACUGGUCCGGCUGGGCCUUUCCUCUUGGGGAUCCACAUGCCCUUCACUUGGGUGUGUUGGGGAACCAGGACUUUUACUUUGAAAAAAUUAGGGUGUUCAAAGCAGGCAUUUGCUCGAAUACAUUAGCAUGGGAUAAUAGAAUAGGACGUGUGGUCUUAUUUUGUUGGUUUCUAGGACCGCCGUAAUGAUUGAUAGGGAUAGUUGGGGGCAUCGGUAUUCAAUUGUCAGAGGUGAAAUUCUUGGAUUUAUUGAAGACCAACUACUGCGAAAGCAUUUGCCAAAGAUGUUUUCAUUAAUCAGGGAACGAAAGUUAGGGGAUCGAAGAUGAUCAGAUACCGUCGUAGUCUUAACCGUAAACUAUGCCGACUAGGGAUCGGGUGGUGUUCCAUUUAUGACCCACUCGGCACCUUACGAGAAAUCAAAGUUU
rnacentral:rRNA from 1 species